rnacentral:rRNA from 1 species
UAGUCCACGCAGUAAACGAUGGAUACUAGUUGUCGGGAGGGUUACCUUUCGGUGACGCAGCAAACGCAUUAAGUAUCCCGCCUGGGGAGUACGAUCGCAAGGUUGAAACUCAAAGGAAUUGACGGGGGCCCGCACAAGCGGUGGAGCAUGUGGUUUAAUUCGAUGCAACGCGAAGAACCUUACCUGGGCUUGAACUGCAUGGGAAAUAAUCAGAGAUGGCUAUGUCCCUUCGGGACGUCAUGUAGAGGUGCUGCAUGGCUGUCGUCAGCUCGUGUCGUGAGAUGUUCGGUUAAGUCCAGCAACGAGCGCAACCCCUAUCGUAUGUUGCCAGCAUUCAGUUGGGCACUCAUGCGAGACUGCCGGUGUUAAGCCGGAGGAAGGUGGGGACGACGUCAAGUCAUCAUGGCCCUUACGUGUAGGGCUAGAAACGUGCUACAAUGGCUAUUACAGUGGGCAGCAAGGUCGCGAGGCCAAGCUAAUCCCUAAAAGUAGUACU